rnacentral:rRNA from 1 species
UACGUAGGGUGCAAGCGUUAAUCGGAAUUACUGGGCGUAAAGCGUGCGCAGGCGGUGAUGUAAGACAGAUGUGAAAUCCCCCGGGCUCAACCUGGGAACUGCAUUUGUGACUGCAUCGCUGGAGUACGGCAGAGGGGGAUGGAAUUCCGCGUGUAGCAGUGAAAUGCGUAGAUAUGCGGAGGAACACCGAUGGCGAAGGCAAUCCCCUGGGCCUGUACUGACGCUCAUGCACG